rnacentral:rRNA from 1 species
GGACUACUCGGGUAUCUAAUCCUGUUUGCUCCCCACGCUUUCGCGCCUCAGCGUCAAUGUCGGUCCAGUUGGCCGCCUUCGCCACGGGUGUUCUUCCCAAUCUCUACGAAUUUCACCUCUACACUGGGAAUUCCACCAACCUCUACCGAAUUCAAGUAAGACAGUAUCGAAUGCAAUUCCAGGGUUGAGCCCUGGGCUUUCACACCCGACUUAUCAAACCGCCUACGCGCCCUUUACGCCCAGUAAUUCCGAACAACGCUAGCUCCCUUCGUAUUACCGCGGCUGCUGGCAC